AUACGAAAGGUGCAAGCGUUGUUCGGAUUUACUGGGCGUAAAGAGAGUGUAGGUUGUUUAUUAAGUCGGAUGUGAAAUCCCGGGGCUCAACCUCGGAACUGCAUUCGAUACUGGUAGACUAGAGUUCGGGAGGGGUAAGCGGAAUUCCGUGUGUAGCAGUGAAAUGCGUAGAUAUACGGAGGAACACCUGAGGCGAAGGCGGCUUACUGGACCGAUACUGACACUGAGACUCGAAAGCGUGGGUAGCAAACAGGAUUAGAUACCCUAGUAGUCC
rnacentral:rRNA from 1 species